rnacentral:lncRNA from 1 species
GGAAUGACAGCGAUCCCAUGGUCAUAACAAACAAGUUGAUGGAAGUAUUUCCGAAGCUCCAAGAAGGGGGAGGCUUCGAAUUUUUAAAAAUUGCAGGAUCUACACGGAGUCGAAAUCUGGCAUUGCUUCAGUGUCCCAGCACUGGAUACACGCUUGCCUAUCUAAAGGAUCCAGCUUCGAUGAUUGGACAGGCUACAAUCUUCAUUCGUCCGCUUCAACAGGAUCUACCCUUCGAUUGUGAGAGCUCAAGUUCUGCCUCUGGUCCAGUCAUCCCCUGCAUCACCUGUCAGAAGGAGGUUCCCUUUUCAGAGAUGAAGCUGCACAGAUUGAGCUGCAAUGGGACACCCAUGCAGGAAUCAGAGAAAGAACAAGAGGGAGGCCAAAGUGAUAGUGAGACCGUCAGUGACAGUGUUCCAGUGAGGCCUGGAACAUCAGCUGAAAGUGCAGAAGUGCCAGCAGUGAUGGUCAACGAGGAGCUGGAUAGUAAAGAAGCAGACAGCGGUUUGUGUCAUCACGAUAGGGUUGCUAUAACUGAGCAACUGAAACAAAGUCAAUAG